UGGUUCAGUUGAAAGUGCAGCAAGAGUCAUGUUUUGAAUGUUCCUAUGCUUCAUCUUUGUAUCUAAUUGUUUGCUUUGAGGGAUAGUUCCAUUAGGUAUAGGAAAAGACUUAUGCUUGAAUUUUCUUGAGCUAUAGCAAUUUGGUUUCAGGUGUGCCCUGAUGGAAAAACCAUUGAAGCUGAAGCAGCACAUGGCACAGUUACACGUCAUUACCAGGUUCAUCAGAAGGGUGGUGAAACCAGUACAAAUAGCAUUGCUUCAAUCUUUGCAUGGUCACGGGGCCUUGCACACAGGGCAAAGUUAGAUGGCAAUGCUAGAUUGCUGGAUUUCACUGAGAAACUGGAAGCAGCUUGCAUUGGAACUGUGGAAUCAGGGAAGAUGACCAAAGAUCUUGCACUUAUCAUCCAUGGAUCCAAGAUGACCCAAG